UCAAGUCAACCUGUAUUUCGUAAGACAACAUUCUCACUAAUUGCAUUACCCGUUGUCUCUACAAAAAAAGUCUGAUCUAUGCAGUGACGGUGGACACCGUCCUCAGCAACAGAAAGAACAUGGUUGAGGAACAGCCCAUCGAGAGGACAGAGCAAAUCAGGAGUGAGCCGACUGACGACCAGAUGACCGAAGUUGCCAUCUCAGAAAACUAUUUGUUCGAAGGG